rnacentral:rRNA from 1 species
ACCUAACUUGAGCUAAACAUAACUACAAACCCACCCCAAACCUAAACCAAAUCAUUUGAGUGACUAGUAAAGGAGAUUGAACCCCACAGUAAGCCUAACAAGUACCGCAAGGGAAACAUGAAAUAACAAUGAAACAACAAAGUAAAAAAAAGCAGAGAUUAACCCUUGUACCUCCUGCAUCAUGGUCAAGCAACCCCCGCUUAAACAAAGUGAUCUCUAGUUUAAUUACCCGAAACCAAGCGAGCUAUUUCUAGGCAGCACCUCAACCGAGCACACCCGUCCCUGUAGCAAAAGGGUGGGAAGACCUGGAAAUAGUGGUAAAAAGCCUAUCGAGCCUGGUGAUAGCUGGCUACUCAACAAAAGAAUUUAAGUUCAACCUUAGACUAAUAUGAGUCCACAAACUUUAGCCCCUGAAUCUAAGGACAGUCAAUGGGGGUACAGCCCCAUUGAUCCGGAACACAGCCCGAGCCGAGAGAAAAUACUUACAAAUUAUAAGUUGGCCUCAAAGCAGCCACCAUCAAACUGCGUUAUAGCUCCUCCCACAUAAUUUCAAUAAUAAUUGUAUCCUCCUGAUUAAACUUGAGUUAUUUUAUACCCCUAUAAAAAUAUCAAUGCCUGAACUAGUAAUAUGAAAAAGUCUCUACCGCACACCCUUAAGUCAGAUUAGAAUAUCUACUGACAAUUAACCAGUAAAUCCGCACCCAACACCAAGCCACGUGCCCUCCCCCCUGUUACCCCAACACAGGUGUGCCUAAAAGAAGGAGAAAAGCUGCAAAAGGAACUCGGCAAACAAGCGUCUCAACUGUUUACCAAAAACAUAGCCUUUAGCCUAACAAGUAUUAAAGGUCCCGCCUGCCCAGUGACUUCACUUAAACGGCCGCGGUAUCCUAACCGUGCAAAGGUAGCAUAAUCACUUGUCCCCUAAAUAGGGACUAGAAUGAAUGGCUAAAUGAAGACCCAACUGUCUCUUGCAGCCUGCCGAUGAAACUGAUCUCUUAGUUCAAAAGCUAAGAUUUCUCCACAAGACGAGAAGACCCUGUGGAGCUAUCAAACCAAGCCCACAAAUAUUGGCCCCUUGGUUUUCAGUUGGGGCGACUUCGGAGCAUAAAAAACCCUCCGACACAAAACCAAUAAACCCAGAUGGACACAUCAAUAUACCAAGACCCAGUAGUUUGUUUUCAAACUACCUGAUCAAUGAACCAAGUUACCCCAGGGAUAACAGCGCCAUCCUCUCCUAGAGUCCCUAUCGACGAGAGGGCUUACGACCUCGAUGUUGGAUCAGGACACCCCAAUAGUGCAACCGCUAUUAAUGGUUCGUUUGUUCAACGAUUAAUAGUCCUACGUGAUCUGAGUUCAGACCGGAGAAAUCCAGGUCGGUUUCUAUCUGUGCUGGGAAGCUCCCAGUACGAAAGGACCGGAACAACAAGGCCAAUGCCAAAAGCACGCCUUAUGACCAACUGCUGCUCAUACUAAAGCAGUAGACCACCAACCCACGACCCCUAAAUGGGUU